GACGAACGCUGGCGGCGUGCUUAACACAUGCAAGUCGAACGGAAAGGCCCUGCUUUUGUGGGGUGCUCGAGUGGCGAACGGGUGAGUAACACGUGAGUAACCUGCCCUUGACUUUGGGAUAACUUCAGGAAACUGGGGCUAAUACCGGAUAGGAGCUCCUGCUGCAUGGUGGGGGUUGGAAAGUUUCGGCGGUUGGGGAUGGACUCGCGGCUUAUCAGCUUGUUGGUGGGGUAGUGGCUUACCAAGGCUUUGACGGGUAGCCGGCCUGAGAGGGUGACCGGCCACCUUGGGACUGGGAUACGGCCCAGCCUCCUACGGGAGGCAGCAGUGGGGAAUAUUGCACAAUGGGCGGAAGCCUGAUGCAGCACCGCCGCGUGCGGGAUGACGGCCUUCGGGUUGUAAACCGCUUUCGCCUGUGACGAAGCGUGAGUGACGGUAAUGGGUAAAGAAGCACCGGCUAACUACGUG
rnacentral:rRNA from 1 species